rnacentral:misc_RNA from 1 species
GUCAUUCUCCUAAGAAGCUA